rnacentral:rRNA from 1 species
UAACUGAAGAGUUUGAUCAUGGCUCAGAUUGAACGCUGGCGGCAGGCUUAACACAUGCAAGUCGAGCGGAGAGAGGUAGCUUGCUACUG